AGAAUCAACGCUGGCGGCGUGCCUAACACAUGCAAGUCGCACGAGAAAGGGUAGCAAUACCUGAGUAAAGUGGCGCACGGGUGAGUAACACGUGAAUUAUCUACCUCCGAGUGGGGAAUAACUGAGAGAAAUCUUAGCUAAUACCGCAUAACACUUACGAGUCAAAGCAGCAAUGCGCUUGGAGAGGAGUUCGCGGCCGAUUAGUUAGUUGGCGGGGUAAUGGCCCACCAAGACGAUGAUCGGUAUCCGGCCUGAGAGGGCGCACGGACACACUGGAACUGAAACACGGUCCAGACUCCUACGGGAGGCAGCAGUGGGGAAUUUUGCGCAAUGGGGGAAACCCUGACGCAGCAACGCCGCGUGGAGGAUGAAAUAUCUUGGUAUGUAAACUCCUUUCGAUGGGGAAGAUUAUGACGGUACCCAUAGAAGAAGCCCGGCUAACUUCGCGCCAGCAGCCGC
rnacentral:rRNA from 1 species